CGAGGGGGAUAACGUAGGGAAACUUACGCUAAUACCGCAUACCACCUACGGGUGAAAGCGGGGGACCUUCGGGCCUUGCGCGAUUGAAUGAGCCGAAGUCGGAUUAUCUAGUUGGCGGGGUAAAGGCCCACCAAGGCGACUAUCCGUACCUGGUCUGAGAGGAUGAUCAGCCACACUGAAACUGAGACACGGUCCAUACUCCUACCGGAGGCAGCAAUGGGGAAUAUUGGACAAUGGGCGCAAGCCUGAUCCACCCAUACCGCGUGGGUGAACAAGGCCUUCUGGUUGUAAAGCCCUUUUGUUGAGAAAGAAAUCCAUAUGGCUAAUACCUGGUGGGGAUGACUGUACCCAAAGAAUAAGCACCGGCCAACUUCGUGCCCGCAGCCGCGGUAAUACGAAGGGUGCUAGCGUUACUCGGAAUUACUGGGCGUAAAGCGUGCGUAGGUGGUCGUUUAAGUCCGAUGUGAAAGCCCUGGGCUCAACCUGGGAACUGCAGUGGAUACUGGGCGACUAGAGUGUGGGAGAGGGGUAGUGCAAUUCCUGGUGUAUCAGUGAAAUGCGUAUAGAUCAGGAGGAACAUCCAUGGCGAACGCAUCUACCUGUACCAACACUUGACACUGAGGCACGAAAGCGUGGGGA
rnacentral:rRNA from 1 species